rnacentral:rRNA from 1 species
GGAUACUUGUUGUUGGUGGUAUUGACCCCAUCAGUGACGAAGCAAACGCGUUAAGUAUCCCGGCCUGGGAAGUACGGCCGCAAGGUUAAAACUCAAAGAAAUUGAACGGGGGCCCGCACAAGCCGGUGGAGCAUGUGGUUUAAUUCGAUGCAACGCGAAGAACCUUACCUGGGUUUGACAUCUACUGGAAGGGUCACAGAAAUGUGCCCGCCUUCGGGCCGGUAGACAGGUGCUGCAUGGCUGUCGUCAGCUCGUGUCGUGAGAUGUUGGGUUAAGUCCCGCAACGAGCGCAACCCUUGUGUUUAGUUGCCAGCAUUCAGUUGGGCACUCUAAACAGACUGCCGACGUUAAGUCGGAGGAAGGUGGGGAUGACGUCAAGUCCUCAUGGCCUUUAUAUCCAGGGCUACACACGUGCUACAAUGGUCGGUACAGAGGGCAGCCAAAUCGCCAAGAUGGAGCCAAUCCCAUAAAGCCGAUCUAAGUUCAGAUUGAGGUCUGCAAUUCGACCUCAUGAAGGUGGAAUCGCUAGUAAUCGCGGAUCAGAACGCCGCGGUGAAUACGUUCCCGGGCCUUGUACACACCGCCCGUCACACCAUGAAAGUUGGUUUUACCAGAAGUCACUGUGCUGACCGAAAGGAGGCAGGUGCCCAAGGUAUGGCCGAUGAUUGGGGUGAAGUCGUAACAAGGUACC